CAUUUUAGCAUUUUUUUAGUGUGCUGCUUGGAACUGAAUAGGACUGUGCCUAGUUUGUCAUAUGGGACUAUACAAAACAAACUAACUUUGUCACUCAGUGGUUUAACCCCUUCAGGACGGAGUCAAUAGUAAUAGUAAAAUGUAAACAAAAACUGGAAUUUGUGCUAUAUGUCUGUUUAACCGUAAUUCACCAAUACUUAUUAUAUAUCAUUUUGUUCAGGAGAAAGAGGGCUUUAAUUUCUCAUGAACUAUUCAUAC